rnacentral:rRNA from 1 species
GCAAUCAUACCAGCACUAAUGCAACGGAUCCCAUCAGAACUCUGAAGUUUAGCGUGCUUGGGCGAGAAUAGUACUAGGAUGGGUGACCCCCUGGGAAGUCCUCGUGUUGCACCCC